rnacentral:misc_RNA from 1 species
GUGGGAUUGAAAGCCGAACGGACGAAAUAUUUUAAAGGAGCCAUAAUCCUGGAGCGGACCCGAAAUGGACCUUUAAUCUUGCCACGAACUUUUGCUUUUCGCCGACGCUCGAAUCAGUCAAUACCCUGACACUGGCAACUGUGGAUGAUUAAAGCAAUGGAUACCAGCCGUCGAGCCGUGCUUGGCUGCUGACCAGACGUUUCCACAAAGACUGCGACUGCGCUGUAACGGGAAAGCGGAUAUUGCAGCACCGACGGAUCCGACGAGGAUGACUGCAAGUCUUUUGGACAUUUUAACACGAUGCGCAUGAUCUCCAUCUACGACAGCAUUGUUGCUAUAUGGAAGCCCUAACGGAAUACGCUUAUCGAGCCAGAUUGCGUGACAUCACCGGCAGGAGUGUCGUCGUGGAAUAGCAUCCGCGUUUUGUCCAAAAUGGGCAAAAAUUAUGCGCAUUAAUAGCAACGGUUUAGCCAACGUUCACCAAAUGAAUAUUCCUAACGUUUGGGGCUUAAUGAAGAAUGCACUCGGCGAUCCAAUGAAUUCCGCACUUCCGUAUCUCAACCUUAUUCAGAAAUUUGUUUUACAGAAUUAAAAUAGCAAGGAUCACCUACGCACUUUGAAAUUAUUUUGUGAAUAUGGGGCAAAACCAGAACUUCGUCAACCAGAAAAAGUUUGCAGAUCAAAGGUAUUUUGUAGCAUUUAGUCAUUUGAUAAUACUAUGAUAGCACUAGUAAAAAGUGAAAUAACAGCAACGCUUCAAUCAAAAUAAAAAUUAGUUUAACAAUUUUUGUAAUCACACGAAAAUCAGCUGAAAAAAACUUAGUGGCUGAGCUUAGAAAACAGGGAAUCCGUUCCACCAUGAUGCAUUACUUUAUGUAGAACUUGCGAUUAUUUCGGUAAGAGGAUGCUAGCUAGCUUAGCAGCUUAGAUGCUUUUAGAAAAAUACUUGUGCAGAUAUUUAUGGAAUAUAUAGUUUUACCGAGGUAAUUCCCCAUAAAAUGAAACCGAACAAAACAACGUGAAACAGCCAUCGGCACAAUGACGCAACGAUUUCUUUUUACUUUUCACAAACAAAAAAAGACGAACAUUUUAUGCUAAGACUUUCAAUUUCUUGUUAUGUACAAUCAAGUGCCAAAGUAUAAUUGUUCCGUCCGUUUCAAGUUGAUUAAGUAUUUUUAUUAUUUAAGCAUGAAUUUUAUUUUAUAAAAGACAAAGAAAAUCGCUUAAAAUAAGAAAGUAUGGACUUGAAUAAUCCUGUGAGGAAUAUUCUCAUUCUAGUAAUCAAGGAAAAUUUGACUUUAUAUAUCGUCAGCUUAUUUGUUGUAUUGAUUUACUUUUAUUUAUUACGAAAAGUGAAGAAAGGGAGAAGGCGGAAGAGAUGACGCAAGGGCGACAAGGCCUGUGGCGAAAAAGAACAUUGAACUCGCCGUUGUUCUCGCACUCGACAACAUCGUAUUUUGCUUGUUGCAUCUAUCCAAAGGCAAAAAGUUUGUCGAUUUGAAAAAUGGAUCGGAAAAUUUUGAUUGUCGCAGCUGUGAUGGCAUUCAUAUUGACGGUGCUCAUUAACGGCGUUCAUAGUCAUACAUUUAAUCUUGGUUCUUGUCCUCGAGUUGAGCCAGUCAUUGAUUUUGACAUGUCAAAGGUUAAGUUAGAAAACAUCUCAUCGUGUAUAUCGUGUAUAUAUAUACUGAAGAGGAAUAGGAACUGAUUUAUAAUAUUUAAUUUGAUUGAUUUCCUAGUUUCUUGGACGUUGGUAUGUCAUACAGAAAUUUUCAACAGCUUCCUCUUGCUGGAUAUACGAUUUUAAUGGCAACAAUUCCGAUCAUUCACUAAAAAUUGUCCAGUCACGCAACCAUGUCGCUCUGGAUACCAUUGGUCUAGACAACAAUUAUCGUUACACUGGAGCACUAGAUGUCCCUGAUUCGAAUCAACCCGGCUUUAUGUGUGUGCGAUUUCCGAUGAGUUUGGCAGGCAAGGCUGAUUAUAUGUAGUAUUCGCAACGGAUUACGAAAAUUAUUGAGCUAUUUAUACAGCUGUCAAAGCAUUUUAUUCGGCCAUCGUCGUUCCGCUUCCAUCCUUUCCCGUCGCCCGACUUUGGAUCAACCACAAAUCAACAAGAUUCGUUCAAAACUGGAAAGCUUCGGUGUGAAUCCUCACGACUUUUCCAUUAUUGACCAUUUAGAUUGCAAGUUGCUCCCUUCGAUAAGUCUACUGGACGUCGAAGUCAACCCUCAUACUUUCAGUAGAGGAGAGCGGACCCAAACCGAACAAAAAACCUAUUUUAGUCAUAAAUAGUUCCGUGAGAUAAAAGACUGGGUAAUGGAUGUAUGAUGUUAAUUGAUUCACAAAUUUGUAUUAAAAGGGUGGGAAAAGGCGCACACUGUAAAACAAAAAGGAUAAAUGUGGCUCGAAAUGUGGUUUUCAAUAAUUCUGAAAUACAAAAAGAAAAGCGGGUAAAGCUUCGAACAAG